AGAGAUGAGACCUUGAGAGAGGAGUGGGCAGCUGCAUAGAGGAGAGGAAAAAGAGAGCUGGAAAACGUGAGAGGAAGAAGAAGGAGGAGAACCAACAGCUGAAUAGUGUCAAACCUUCCUCAAACUUAGUUAAAUUCAGAAGGUAUGGGUCAUGAAACUCUCUUCCUCUCCCCCGUAAGAUCAAAAAACGAAAAUGAAGAAGAAAAACCCUAAGAAAAGAAUUGAUCUAAGACCUAAGCCAGCUGUGAAGGAAGCUGAAAUUAACCAAGAGAACAAGCAAACAAAAGUGAAAUAAAGUCAAUUUCAGAACAUCUAACAAAUCAUGGUAGAGGGCUGGCUUUAACUAGGGGGUAAUUAAUGUGUUCUGCUGUGAUGUUGUUGCUGGACUUAAUGUGUUCUGCUGUGAUGAUUGUUGCUGGAAUUAAUGUGUUCUGCUGUGAUGUUUGUUGCUGGAAUUAAUGUGUUCUCCUGUGAUGAUUGUGCUGCAAUUGAUGCUGCCGAUUUGUGUGUUGCGCAGCGAAAUUCUGUUUCGCUGCCGCAACUGAACCUGCUGCAGCGAUUUGAUAUUCGCUGCCGAUUUGUGUGUUGCGCAGCGAAAUUCUGUUUCGCUGACGCAACUGAACCUGCUGCAGCGAUUUGAUAUUCGCUGCCGAUUUGUGUGUUGCGCAGCGAAAUUCUGUUUCGCUGCCGCAACUGAACCUGCUGCAGCGAUUUGAUAUUCGCUGCCGAUUUGUGUGUUGCGCAGCGAAAUUCUGUUUCGCUGCCGCAACUGAACCUGCUGCAGCGAAUUAAUAUUCGCUGCCGAUUUGUGUGUUGCGCAGCGAAAUUCUGUUUCGCUGACGCAACUGAACCUCCUGCAGCGAUUUGAUAUUCGCUGCCGAUUUGUGUGUUGCGCAGCGAAAUUCUGUUUCGCUGCCGCAACUGAACCUGCUGCAGCGAUUUGAUAUUCGCUGCCGAUUUGUGUGUUGCGCAGCGAAAUUCUGUUUCGCUGACGCAACUGAACCUGCUGCAGCGAUUUGAUAUUCGCUGCCGAUUUGUGUGUUGCGCAGCGAAAUUCUGUUUCGCUGACGCAACUGAACCUGCUGCAGCGAUUUGAUAUUCGCUGCCGAUUUGUGUGUUGCGCAGCGAAAUUCUGUUUCGCUGACGCAACUGAACCUCCUGCAGCGAUUUGAUAUUCGCUGCCGAUUUGUGUGUUGCGCAGCGAAAUUCUGUUUCGCUGCCGCAGCUGAACCUGCUGCAGCGAUUUGAUAUUCGCUGCCGAUUUGUGUGUUGCGCAGCGAAAUUCUGUUUCGCUGCCGCAGCUGAACCUCCUGCAGCGAAGUGAUAUUCGCUGCCGAGUUGUGCGUUGUGCAGCGAAACUGUGGCGCCAACAGCGGUGCAGUUCUCGCUGCCGAACUGGCAGCCUGCGGCGAACCAGUUCUCGCUGCCGAAGUGGGCAGCCCGCAGCGAACCAGUUCUCGCUGCCGAUUCCUACAAUAAGCCUCCUAGGCAGGAAUGACUUAAAUGCUAAUAACAAUUUCAUGAUAUGAUGGUGUAAAAUAGGGAACACUUGAAUGUGAACAUAUGAACUAUUGAAAUAAGUGUGAUGAUGAAUGUGAUUCAAAAAUAAAAUAAAUACAACUGUGCUGAUUUGUGACCAUUGAUGUCUUAGGUGGUGCGGUCGGGAUUGGACCAUCAUCAAGACAGGAACGACCCACAGGUGGAGCAGG
rnacentral:lncRNA from 1 species